rnacentral:rRNA from 1 species
AUUGAACGCUGGCGGCAGGCCUAACACAUGCAAGUCGAACGAGUGGCGGACGGGUGAGUAAUGUAUGGGAAACUGCCUGAUGGAGGGGGAUAAAUCCUGGAAACGGUAGCUAAUACCGCAUUCCCUCGCCUGUGCCCAGUUGGGUUUAGCUAGUAGGUGGGGUAAAGGCUCACCUAGGCUACGACCCCUAACUGGUAUGAGAGGAUGACCAGCCACACUGGAAAUGAGACACGGUCCAGACUCCUACGGGAGGCAGCAGUGGGGAAUAUUGCACAAUGGGCGCAAGCCUGAUGCAGCCAUGCCGCGUGUAUGAAGAAGGCCUUCGGGUUGUAAAGUACUUUCAGCGGGGAGGCGUUACCCGCAGAAGAAGCACCGGCUAACUCCGUGCCAGCAGCCGCGGUAAUUC